rnacentral:rRNA from 1 species
GAUCCUGGCUCAGGAUGAACGCUAGCUACAGGCUUAACACAUGCAAGUCGAGGGGCAGCAUAGUGUUCUAGCAAUAGAAUACGGGCGUCGACCGGCGCACGGGUGAGUAACGCGUAUCCAACCUGCCUACCACUUGGGGAUAACCUUGCGAAAGUAAGACUAAUACCCAAUGACAUCCCACGAAGACAUCUGAAUGGGAUUAAAGAUUUAUCGGUGAUGGAUGGGGAUGCGU